rnacentral:rRNA from 1 species
GACGAAGGAUCCAAGCGUUAUCCGGAUUUAUUGGGUUUAAAGGGUGCGUAGGUGGUCUAUUAAGUCAGUGCUGAAAUAUCCCGGCUUAACCGGGAGGGUGGCAUUGAUACUGAUGGACUUGAGUGGAGUUGAGGUAGGCGGAAUUGACGGUGUAGCGGUGAAAUGCUUAGAUAUCGUCAAGAACACCAAUAGCGAAGGCAGCUUACUAAGCUCUAACUGACACUGAUGCACGAAAGUGUGGGGAUCAAACAGG